GAUGAACGCUGGCGGCGUGCCUAAUACAUGCAAGUCGAGCGAACGGACGAGAAGCUUGCUUUUCUGAUGUUAGCGGCGGACGGGUGAGUAACACGUGGAUAACCUACCUAUAAGACUGGGAUAACUUCGGGAAACCGGAGCUAAUACCGGAUAAUAUUUUGAACCGCAUGGUUCAAAAGUGAAAGACGGUCUUGCUGUCACUUAUAGAUGGAUCCGCGCUGCAUUAGCUAGUUGGUAAGGUAACGGCUUACCAAGGCAACGAUACAUAGCCGACCUGAGAGGGUGAUCGGCCUCACUGGAACUGAGACACGGUCCAGACUCCUACGGGAGGCAGCAGUAGGGAAUCUUCCGCAAUGGGCGAAAGCCUGACGGAGCAACGCCGCGUGAGUGAUGAAGGUCUUCGGAUCGUAAAACUCUGUUAUUAGGGAAGAACAUAUGUGUAAGUAACUGUGCACAUCUUGACGGUACCUAAUCAGAAAGCCACGGCUAACUACGUG
rnacentral:rRNA from 1 species